UGGUCUGAGAGGAUGGUCAGCCACACUGGGACUGAGACACUGCCCAGACUCCUACGGGAGGCUGCAGUCGAGGAUCAUUUACAAUGCGCGGAAGCGUGAUAAUGCGACGCUGCGUGGAGGAUGAAGGCCUUCGGGUCGUAAACUCCUGUCAUUCGGGAAAAACUGUCCCUGUAUUAAUAGUGCAGGGGCGUGAUGGUACCGAAAGAGGAAGCCACGGCUAACUCUGUGCCAGCAGCCGCGGUAAUACAGAGGUGGCGAGCGUUGUUCGGAUUUACUGGGCGUAAAGGGUGUUAGGUGGUAACGUGUGUCGGGUGUGAAAGUCCGCGGCUCAACCGCGGAAGUGCAUCCGAAACUGCGUAACUAGAGUGCAGGAUGGGAGAGCGGAAUUCUUGGUGUAGCGGUGAAAUGCGUUGAUAUCAAGAAGAACACCGGUGGCGAAGGCGGCUCUCUGGAAUGCAACUGACACUGAGGCACGAAAGCUGGGGGAGCAAACAGGAUUAGAUACCCUGGUAGUCCCAGCCGUAAACGGUGCGCACUUGGUGUAGGGGGUAUUGACCCCCCCUGUGCCGGAGUUAACGCGUUAAGUGCGCCGCCUGGGGAGUACGGCCGCAAGGCUAAAACUCAAAGAAAUUGACGGGGGCCCGCACAAGCGGAGGAGCAUGUGGCUUAAUUCGAUGCAACGCGAAGAACCUUACCAGGGCUUGACAUGGGGACCCUUCGGGGGUGCCGGCGAAAGCUGGCUUUACCAUCACAGGUGCUGCAUGGCUGUCGUCAGUUCGUGCCGUGAGGUGUUGGGUUAAGUCCCGCAACGAACGCAACCCUUGUGCUUAGUUGCCACCACAGGUGAUGAGCCUGUGAGCACUCUAAGCAGACUGCCCGUACAAGCGGGAGGAAGGUGGGGACGACGUCAAGUCAGUAUGGCCCUUACGUCCUGGGCUGCACACGUGCUACAAUGGUCGGUACAAAAGGACGCAAGUCCGCGAGGUGGAGCAAAUCCUGAAAACCGGCCUCAGUUCGGAUUGGAGUCUGCAACUCGACUCCAUGAAGUCGGAUUCGCUAGUAACGGCGUAUCAGCAACGGCGCCGUGAAUACGUUCCCGGGCCUUGUACACACCGCCCGUCACAUCAUGAAAGCCGUCUGCACCCGAAGUCGCUGAGCUAAUCUGUCAUUAGAUGGAAGGCAGGCGCCGAAGGUGUGGGUGGUGAUUGG
rnacentral:rRNA from 1 species